GUGCUGCAGCCUUCUGCCCUGCUCCCCAUCUCUAAUCCUUGCUGUCUGGGUGCUAGUGCUGUCUCAAUGCAAUGCACCUGGGCAAGGAUUCAGAGAGGGUGGGCUCGACUG
ensembl:miRNA microRNA 502